AACGAACGCUGGCGGCAUGCCUAACACAUGCAAGUCGAACGAGAUCUUCGGGUCUAGUGGCGCACGGGUGCGUAACGCGUGGGAAUCUGCCCUUUGGUUCGGGAUAACAGUUGGAAACGACUGCCAAUACCGGAUGAUGACGAAAGUCCAAAGAUUUAUCGCCAGAGGAUGAGCCCGCGUAGGAUUAGCUAGUUGGUGUGGUAAAGGCGCACCAAGGCGACGAUCCUUAGCUGGUCUGAGAGGAUGAUCAGCCACACUGGGACUGAGACACGGCCCAGACUCCUACGGGAGGCAGCAGUGGGGAAUAUUGGACAAUGGGCGAAAGCCUGAUCCAGCAAUGCCGCGUGAGUGAUGAAGGCCUUAGGGUUGUAAUGCUCUUUUACCCGGGAUGAUAAUGACAGUACCGGGAGAAUAAGCUCCGGCUAACUCCGUGCCAGCAGCCGCCGCCG
rnacentral:rRNA from 1 species